rnacentral:rRNA from 1 species
GAUGAACGCUAGCGGCAGGCUUAAUACAUGCAAGUCGAGGGGCAGCGCAGUGCAGCAAUACAUGGGCGGCGACCGGCAAACGGGUGCGGAACACGUACAGAACCUUCCUUUAAGCGGGGGAUAGCCCAGAGAAAUUUGGAUUAAUACCCCAUAGUAUUGUUGAGUGGCAUCACUUGAUGAUUAAAGAUUUAUCACUUAAAGAUGGCUGUGCGGCUGAUUAGGUAGUUGGCGGGGUAAUGGCCCACCAAGCCUUCGAUCAGUAACUGGUGUGAGAGCACGACCAGUCACACGGGCACUGAGACACGGGCCCGACUCCUACGGGAGGCAGCAGUAAGGAAUAUUGGGCAAUGGACGCAAGUCUGACCCAGCCAUGCCGCGUGGAGGAUGAAGGUCCUCUGGAUUGUAAACUUCUUUUAUUUGGGAAGAAACCCGGAUUUUCUAAUUCGGUUGACGGUACCAGAUGAAUAAGCACCGGCUAACUCCGUGCCAGCAGCCGCAGUAACAC